AGAUUGAACGCUGGCGGCGUGCCUAACACAUGCAAGUCGAGCGGUAACAGGUGUAGCAAUACAUGCUGACGAGCGGCGAACGGGUGAGUAAUGCUUUGGAAUCUUCCCAGUAGUGGGGAAUAACCAGUCGAAAGAUUGGCUAAUACCGCAUACGUCUGUAAAGGGAAAGCGGGGGCUCGUAAGACCUCGCGCUAUUGGAUGAGCCAAAGUCGGAUUAGCUAGUUGGUGGGGUAACGGCCUACCAAGGCGACAAUCCGUAGCUGGUCUGAGAGGACGACCAGCCACACCGGAACUGAGACACGGUCCGGACUCCUACGGGAGGCAGCAGUGGGGAAUAUUGGACAAUGGGGGAAACCCUGAUCCAGCGACGCCGCGUGUGUGAAGAAGGCCUGCGGGUUGUAAAGCACUUUUAUCGGGAACGAAAUACUACUGGUUAAUAACCGGUGGGGCUGACGGUACCCGAGGAAUAAGCACCGGCUAACUUCGUGCCAGCAGCCGC
rnacentral:rRNA from 1 species